UUUGUGGUGUUUUCUUCUUGCCUUUGUGGUUACAAAUCAUCACCAUUAUCUUGUCCUUGUGGGUGAGAUUGAGAAGCAACCGAAGUGAAUAUAUAGGUUUUGGAUUGGAGCCGGUUGGAUUGGUUGUUUGAUAGAGAAAGAUAACGUUGAACUGAGCCCGAAAAACACUGUUUUGACGAUCGGAGCAAGCUUCCGCGACAUCUGGAUUUUGGAAUUGAUGGCAGUAAUAAUAUAUCUAGUGGUGGAGAUAAUAAAAAUUAGAUAUCCUAGAUUUGAAGAUAGACAUAUAAAUAUUGCUCUCUCCUUUAAGGGAUGCUAUCAAUCUGAUGAACGCGUCAAAAGAAUGAUUAUUUUGCUAAUAGGUGAUAGUCCAAUUGGUAGAAAGUAGGAGUCUAUUUUGCAGUGGCACAGGCUAAGAUAUUUAGAUCCUCAUAAAUCACAGAGUGAAAAUGGAAAUGAGCUUAAUGCUUUUGAAGUCAGGUGAUAAUUAUUCAAUUUCAGAUUGUCUAACUACAAAAUCUUUCAAGCUAUCAGUGUGCAAACAUAGUUCAUUUGUGGAGACGGAGAUAAUUGACUCUUUCAAGGAACAGGAUAAGAUGAAAGAAACUGUUGCUGAAGUCAAAAUGUAGAGAUGUACAUGCUUUGAGCCAAUUCUGCCAACUGCUAUAGAAAAAUCAGUACAACACAGGCUUUAGCAUUUUUCAACUUGCUAUAGAAAAAAUUUGUAUCCAUAUUUUUCGAUGUAUCCCCCUCUAAGGCCAAGCAAAAAGAAUAGAGGGAUUUAAGGAAUCAAAUAAAUGGAAAUCUAAUGGAAAAACUUAGUUAUUUUUUCUUUCCAGCUAAAAUAUAGCACAUGCGAUCAACGUGCAAUUUACGUGCGACACAUGUUAAUUGGGC
rnacentral:lncRNA from 1 species